rnacentral:misc_RNA from 1 species
GAUGAAGAACGCAGCGAAAUGCGAUAAGUAAUGUGAAUUGCAGAAUUCAGUGAAUCAUCGAAUAUUUGAACGCACAUUGCGCCCCUUGGUAUUCCGAGGGGCAUGCCUGCUCGAGCGUCAUUAUAACCCCUCAAGCUCAGCUUGGUGUUGGGGCCUGCUGCACUGGCAGCCCUUAAAAUCAGUGGCGGCGCCAUCUGGCUCUAAGCGUAGUAAUUCUUCUCGCUAUGGAGUCCUGGUGGAUGCUUGCCAUCAACCCCCAAUUUUUCUAUGGUUGACCUCGGAUCAGGUAGGGAUACCCGCUGAACUUAAGCAUAUCAAUAAGCGGAGGA